rnacentral:tRNA from 1 species
GGGGAUAUAGCUCAGUGGUAGAGUGCUUGCCUACGUCCCCAAGGCCCUGGGUUCAAUCCCCAGCACCACCA